UAGAGUUUGACUCCGUGGCUCGAAGGAUCGAACGCGUGGCGGCGUCGCUAACACAUGCAAGUCGAACGGACUCAUACUGAAACCUAGUGAUCUAUGAGUUAGUGGCGGACGGGUGAGUAACGCGUGGAUAACCUGCCGUAUACCGGGGGAUAACACUUAGAAAUAGGUGCUAAUACCGCAUGAGCGCACAGCUCCGCAUGGAGCGGUGUGAAAAACUCCGGUGGUAUACGAUGGAUCCGCGUCUGAUUAGCCAGUUGGCGGGGUAACGGCCCACCAAAGCGACGAUCAGUAGCCGGCCUGAGAGGGUGAACGGCCACAUUGGGACUGAGACACGGCCCAGACUCCUACGGGAGGCAGCAGUGGGGAAUAUUGCACAAUGGGGGAAACCCUGAUGCAGCGACGCCGCGUGAGUGAAGAAGUAUCUCGGUAUGUAAAGCUCUAUCAGCAGUAAAGAUAAUGACGGUACCUGACUAAGAAGCCCCGGCUAACUACGUG
rnacentral:rRNA from 1 species